rnacentral:tRNA from 1 species
GCCCAGCUAGCACAGUGGAUAGAGCAUGAGACUCUGAAUCUCAGGGCCAUGGGUUCGUGCCCCAUGCUGGGUG